rnacentral:misc_RNA from 1 species
GAUGAAGAACGCAGCGAAAUGCGAUAAGUAGUGUGAAUUGCAGAAUUCAGUGAAUCAUCGAAUCUUUGAACGCACAUUGCGCCUCCUGGUAUUCCGGGAGGCAUGCCUGUUCGAGCGUCAUUAAAAUCACUCAAGCUUAGGUUUGCCUAUUGCUUGGUCUUGAAGAUGGAAGCUAAGUAAUUAGAAUCCUCUUCGAAAUCCAAUGGCGAAGACCCUUGCUCUCCCAAGUGUAGUAAUAACUUAUUCACUGAAGGAAACGAGUAAUCUUCCGCCGUAACCCCCAUAUUUUCUAUGAUUGACCUCGGAUCAGGUAGGGAUACCCGCUGAACUUAAGCAUAUCAAUAAGCGGAGGA